rnacentral:rRNA from 1 species
GACGAACGCUGGCGGCGUGCCUAAUACAUGCAAGUCGAACGCAGUGGGGACGGGUGAGUAACACGUGGGUAACCUCCCAUCAGAGGGGAGAACACUUGGAAACAGGUGCUAAACCGAUACUGAUGGAUGGACCCGCGGGGCAUUAGCUAGUUGGUGAGGUAACGGCUCACCAAGGCCACGAUGCAUAGCCGACCGGAGAGGGGGAGCUGCCACACUGGGACGGAGACACGGCCCAGACUCCUACGGGAGGCAGCAGUGGGGAAUCUUCGACAAUGGACGAAAGUCUGACCGAGCAAAGCCGCGUGAGUGAAGAAGGUUUUCGGAUCGUAAAACUCUGUUGUUAAAGAAGCGGUAUCUGAAGAGAAAGCAACGGCUAACUACGUGCCAGCAGCCGCGGUAAUAC